AGUGAACGCUGGCGGUAGGCCUAACACAUGCAAGUCGAACGGCAGCACAGUAAGAGCUUGCUCUUACGGGUGGCGAGUGGCGGACGGGUGAGGAAUACAUCGGAAUCUACUUUUUCGUGGGGGAUAACGUAGGGAAACUUACGCUAAUACCGCAUACGACCUACGGGUGAAAGCAGGGGAUCUUCGGACCUUGCGCGAUUGAAUGAGCCGAUGUCGGAUUAGCUAGUUGGCGGGGUAAAGGCCCACCAAGGCGACGAUCCGUAGCUGGUCUGAGAGGAUGAUCAGCCACACUGGAACUGAGACACGGUCCAGACUCCGACGGGAGGCAGCAGUGGGGAAUAUUGGACAAUGGGCGCAAGCCUGAUCCAGCCAUGCCGCGUGGGUGAAGAAGGCCUUCGGGUUGUAAAGCCCUUUUGUUGGGAAAGAAAAGCAGCAGGUUAAUACCCCGCUGUUCUGACGGUACCCAAAGAAUAAGCACCGGCUAACUUCGU
rnacentral:rRNA from 1 species